rnacentral:sRNA from 1 species
GUUUUGCUUGAGGGCAAGCAAAAGCUAAGUUUGAGAGAGUUGAUAUACCUCUAUUUUUACUACUUUUAGCUAUGAUUUAGGUAUAGGUUUUAGAGUCUAUUUGUUAUUUCUAUAGUCUUUUGUAGUUCUUUUCAGGUUUUUACAUGUUUGUCAUGCAUUUCGAAAUUAUUGAGCAUUCUGGAGGAAAAAGAGAACUUAUGCUGCAGAAGAAAUCUAGAGACCAAAAAACCACGUAGGUGUCGACCGACACCACCACCGCUGGUGUCGAGUGACACUAAUACCUGACGACAAUUCAAAUACGCAAAAUUAUUGAAGUUUUGAAGAUUUCCAAAUUCGUCCUUGAAAUCUUCCUUAUUUUUAAAGAAGUUCCUGCACGUUUUAGGACAUCUAAUAUAUAUAUAUAUAUAUA